GUUUGAUGUCACCUGGCAACUUUUAGUGACUUUUGGAGCUAGUGCUAGCUACUUUCAUUGGAAAACAUUUGGCAACACUGCGCAGGCACAGUACCUGCUCCUCUGCUGGACAAGUACCAUGACGUCAUGGAGGUGUAACACUAUCACUGGAUACCCCUUGAGGACGGGUCGAUCUCCUCUCAGAUAUGGAUCCAGGCUCACGUUACGUGACAGAAUUCAGAUGAAUUGCGUGUCGGGACGUGGAAGCCUCCGACCUUUCUGUCAGCAGCGGACAGACACAAGAUCUGCUCACUUCAUCAGACCGACUGAGACAUGUAUCCCCGUCCUGUCCUCCAUCAGCCCCCCGCUGACUUCAGACGUGUGUGAGGGGCUGAACAGAUGGAGACCGUGUCUGUCUCGCCGGCUCCCGUGACGUGACUCGAUCAGCACGUUCCUCCGGUGUAUGUCACGCUUUGAACGCACCUGAUCCGCCAUAUUAAAAACGUCAUCAUCAGUUCAAUCGACCUUUUUUUUUUUGCCUCUGACGUAAGGACGCUCUUUGAUAAUAUUUUAUUGUGACUCACGAACAGCUCGUUGUACUCAGGACUGAGUUGAAAAGUGAUAUUGAAUGUAACGUUGCUCUUUGUUUGUUAUGUUCCUGUGACAUUAGCAUCCUCUCCUUCAGGCUCCUCUCAUGACGCGAGGUGUGUUUAAGCCUUUUACAGCACUUUUGGGAUCAUGACUCAUGUUCCGGGCCGUGUAGUUUCUCCUGUAUGUCUGGAUGAAAUUACGUGAGGAAACCCGGUGUUGCACCGACGAGCUGAGAACAUGAACUCUGUCAACCCGGAUCCGUGCUCCUGAUUGGACCCGAGCUGUGUACUUCAGGCAGCUUGUUUCGGCUCUUCGACAGCAGCCCGUCGAGAUCAAACUCUGUGUUUUGUCUCUGAACUGGACACGGCUCACAGCGGAGACAUGAAACGUGUCAGUGAGCUUAAAUCAGCUUAAUGGUGAAUUUAAUUGCCAACCAUGCAACCGCUGAUUGCCCCUUGUGCGCUUGCGUGGCGAAAAAAAAAAUUAGAAAUUACGAAUGGAUGCCGUUCAGAGAGGAUAAUAAA